AUUGAACGCUGGCGGAAUGCUUUACACAUGCAAGUCGAACGAUGAACCUCAGCUUGCUAAGGGGAUUAGUGGCGAACGGGUGAGUAAUAUAUCGGAACGUACCUUGUAAUGGGGGAUAACUAGUCGAAAGAUUAGCUAAUACCGCAUACGCCCUGAGGGGGAAAGUAGGGGAUCUUCGGACCUUACGUUAUAAGAGCGGACGAUAUCUGAUUAGCUAGUUGGUGGGGUAAUGGCCUACCAAGGCGACGAUCAGUAGCUGGUCUGAGAGGACGACCAGCCACACUGGAACUGAGACACGGUCCAGACUCCUACGGGAGGCAGCAGUGGGGAAUUUUGGACAAUGGGCGCAAGCCUGAUCCAGCCAUUCCGCGUGAGUGAAGAAGGCCUUCGGGUUGUAAAGCUCUUUCGCAAGGGAAGAAAACUUACAUUCUAGUAAAGUGUGAGGCUGACGGUACCUUGAUAAGAAGCACCGGCUAACUACGUGCCAGCAGCCGCCGUAAGAC
rnacentral:rRNA from 1 species